UUAUUAUUAAUUUAUUCUUUCUCUCUUUGCAUUUCCGUUUAGGAAGUUUUUAUUGACCUAUUUUCAAGUUCAUUAAUUCUUUCCUCAGCUGUGUUAAAUCUCCUUAUGAGCCUACCAAAGUUUGCAGGGAUCUUUGCCCUACCAGAAGACAUCAUACUGGUCCAUUGCAUUGAUGACAUUAUGCUAAUUGGACUUAAUGAGCAAGAAGUGGCAACUAAUUUAGGCUUAAUGGUCACAAAAUUAUGGAUUCUCUUAAACAUAAAAUCGAGCAUAAAUGAGCUUAUAUGUAAGUGUCCUAAAUGUGUUUAGUUGACUCAAACAGUAUUGACACAUUAACAAAAGUUAUAGGUGUAAUAUUUUGUAAAGAUGGGUGAUGAACAUAUGGAUUUUUAAUUUUCUCUUAAAAUUGGAUUUUGAAAAAGGGCUUAGAGGGAAAGCAGUUAAAGAAACCAUAAAUUACUAAUACACACACAUGUUCCUAUAUACAGCUGCAUCUCAACUCAUCCCAAUUUUCCCAUUCCUCCCACGUUAUUCUUGAGGUAAUAGUAGGCUUGGAUAGAGCUGCCCCUUUCAAAGAGGACUAACACUCAAGAACAACCUCACAGGUGACACUAUAAGCAUACCAUCAAAAAGAAAGGAGAGAACAAAACAAAUAAUACAUUUCAGACAAACAUUUCUCUUUGUUCUAAUAUAUUUGAAGAUAAGCAUUAGUGCUGAAAAAAACCCUGAGAAACAAGAGCAGAAAAAAAGCAAUACACUAGAAGAAUGUA
rnacentral:lncRNA from 1 species